rnacentral:rRNA from 1 species
AGAAUGCAGUCGAACGGGACAACAUUUGUAGCAAUACAGAUGUUGUUUAGUGGCGAACGGGUGCGUAACACGUGGGCAAUCUGCCGAGAAGUGGGGGAUAGCUCGCCGAAAGGCGAAUUAAUACCGCAUAUGGUCAGGGAAGACAUCUUUCCGAAUCCAAAGCCGGGGCAACCUGGCGCUUUUUGAGGAGCCCGCGGCCUAUCAGCUAGUUGGUGAGGUAACGGCUCACCAAGGCUAUGACGGGUAGCUGGUCUGAGAGGACGACCAGUCACACUGGAACUGAGACACGGUCCAGACACCUACGGGUGGCAGCAGUCGAGAAUUUUUCUCAAUGGGGGCAACCCUGAAGGAGCGACGCCGCGUGGAGGAUGAAGGCUUUCGGGUUGUAAACUCCUGUCAUUUGAGAACAAGUGUGAGCAAGUAACUACUGCUCAUUUGAUAGUAUCAGAAGAGGAAGGGACGGCUAACUCUGUGCCAGCAGCCGCGGUAAUACAGAGGUCCCAAGCGUUGUUCGGAUUCAUUGGGCGUAAAGGGUGCGUAGGUGGCGCCGUAAGUCGGGUGUGAAAUUUCGGAGCUUAACUCCGAAACUGCAUUCGAUACUGCGGUGCUUGAGGACUGGAGAGGAGACUGGAAUUCAUGGUGUAGCAGUGAAAUGCGUAGAGAUCAUGAGGAAGACCAGUGGCGAAGGCGGGUCUCUGGACAGUUCCUGACACUGAGGCACGAAGGCCAGGGGAGCAAACGGGAUAGAUACCCCGGUAGUCCUGGCAGUAAACGGUGCACGUUUGGUGUGGGAGGAUUCGACCC